GAAAUACUCUGGUGGCAAGAAGGCAAACAUCUUACUGCUUCUUUCUCCUCUAAACUCCGUAGAAAAUAAUACUGUAGGGUUUGCUCGCCCUGUUCAGAGUCUACUUUUUCCCUCACCUCAGUAUUUCAUUUUGUGUACGCCUGGAGGAAGAGGUUUCAGACAAAAAAGGAGAAAUGCUAUAAUUAACAAAGCCUACCCUCUCUCUCGCCUCAGAAGAAAAUGAUGGUAUCAUCCUAACUUAAAAUUGUCAAUAUAUAUUCAACUUACAAUCUGGAAGCAAUUAGAUAAAUUUAAUGGAGAAGAAUCUCUAGAUUAUUUGAUUUCCAGUAAUACAGGAACAAAAUAGUACCUAUUUGUAAAGUUCUAUAAAUAUUAAAUGAGCUUUUAUAUAUAAAUCACCUAAGACAGUAUCUGGUCUAUUGUUCAUGCUCAGUAUAGCUGUGGACUUGACCUUAAGACAAAGGCAGACAGAAGCCCUGAGUGCAGUCAUUGCCUUAUUUUCACCAAACAUUGUAGCUGGAUCUGUGCAAUAUGUGAGAGUGGAGGGUCCGGAUGCAUAAACCUUGGAAAAACCAUUGAAAACAACAAAAGGAGAACUCUGAAAACAUAAGGAGAAGGAGG